rnacentral:tRNA from 1 species
CAGGAAGUAGUUUAUAGAGAAUGUCAGCUUUGGGUGCUGAUGGUGGGGGUUGAUCCUUCCUUCUUGA